rnacentral:rRNA from 1 species
AGAGUUUGAUCAUGGCUCAGGAUGAAUGCUGGCGGCGUGCUUUAUAUAUGCAAGUCGAGCGACGUGUUCCAGCUUGCUGGAAUUACGAGCGGCAGACGGGUGAGUAAUGCGUAGGAAUCUACCCUGAAGUGGGGGACAACCAGCCGAAAGGUUGGCUAAUACCGCAUGUGCCCCGAUGUAACAUCGGGGUAAAGAUUUAUCGCUUCAGGAGGAGCCUGCGUCCUAUCAGCUUGUUGGUGGGGUAAAAGCCUACCAAGGCGACGACGGGUAGCUGGUCUGAGAGGAUGGUCCGCCGCACCUGCGCUGAGACCCGGGCCCAACAUCUACGGAUGGGGGGUAGGGAAUCGUGGACAAUGGGCGAAAAUGUGAUCGGCUAAACCGCUUGCUGGAUUGUAAGUCCUUCGGGUUGUAAACUCCUUUUAUCUGGGAAGAUUAUGACGGUACCAGAUGAAUAAGCACCUGCUAACUACGUGCCAGAAGCCUCGGUAAGACGUAGGGUGCAAGCGUUAUCCGGAUUUACUGGGCGUAAAGUGUUGCGUAGGCGGUCCGAUGCAUUUUGUUUUAAAGCCUAUGGCUUAACCAUAGUUUCGGACAAAAUAUGAUCGGACUGGAAGAAUAGAGGGGGUACUGGAACUUGUCGUGUAGCAGUGAAAUGCGUUGAUAUGACAAGGAACACCAAAGGCGUAGGCAGGUACCUGGCUAUUUCUUGACGCUGAGGCACGAAAGCUUGGGGAGCGAAGCAGAUUAGAGACCUGCGUAGUCCAAGCCGUAAACGAUGGAUGCUAGAUAUCCGACUUUUGUUGGGUGUCGUAAGCUAACGCGUUAAGCAUCCCGCCUGGGGAGUACGAGCGCAAGCUUAAAACUCAAAGGAAUUGACGGGGAGGCGCACAAGCAGUGGAGCAUGUGGUUUAAUUCGAGACAAAGCGAAAAACCUCACCAGGACUUGACAUGCAGAUGCAAAUCCGCCGAAAGGCGGACUCCUUCGAGGGUUCUGCACAGAUGCUGCAUGGCUGUCGUCAGCUCGUGGCGUGAGCUGUACCCUUAAGUGGGAUAACGAGCGCAACCCGCACUAUAUGUUAAAUAAUUCAUAUGGAACUGCCCCUUUAUUUGGGGAGGAAGGCGCGGAUGACGUCAAGUCAGCACGGCUCUUACGUCCUGGGCUACACACAUCCUACAAUGGUGAAUAACAACGAGUUGCAAGCUGGCAACAGCAAGCUAAUCUCUAAAAUUUCAUCUCAGUUCGGAUUGGGGUCUGCAAUUCGACCCCAUGAAGUCGGAAUUGCUAGUAAUCGCAAAUCAGCAGGUUGCGGUGAAUACGUUCUCGCCUCUUGUACACACCGCCCGUC